CCUACGGGAGGCUGCAGUGAGGAAUAUUGGUCAAUGGCCGGAAGGCUGAACCAGCCAUGCCGCGUGAAGGUCAGUGCCCUAUGGGCGUUAAACUUCUUUUGUGCGGGAGCAAUAAUGGUCACGUGUGGCCAGACGAGAGUACCGUACGAAUAAGCAUCGGCUAACUCCGUGCCAGCAGCCGCGGUAAUACGGGGGAUGCAAGCGUUAUCCGGAUUUAUUGGGUUUAAAGGGUGCGUAGGCUGUGCGGUAAGUCAGCGGUGAAAUGCCCCCGCUCAACGGGGUGAAGUGCCAUUGAUACUGCCUGGCUGGAAUGCGGAUGCCGUGGGAGGAAUGUGUGGUGUAGCGGUGAAAUGCAUAGAUAUCACACAGAACACCGAUUGCGAAGGCAUCUCACGAAUCCGCGAUUGACGCUGAUGCACGAAAGCGUGGGUAUCAAACAGGAUUAGAUACCCCAGUGUC
rnacentral:rRNA from 1 species